rnacentral:rRNA from 1 species
UACGUGGGGUCCGAGCGUUAUUCGGAAUUACUGGGCGUAAAGCGUGCGCAGGCGGCUUUGUAAGUCAGAUGUGAAAGCCCCGGGCUUAACCUGGGAAUGGCAUUUGGGACUGCAAGGCUGGAGUACGGCAGAGGGAGGUGGAAUUCCAGGUGUAGCAGUGAAAUGCGUAGAUAUCUGGAGGAACACCGAUGGCGAAGGCAGCCUCCUGGGCUAGUACUGACGCUCAUGCACGAAAGCGUGGGGAGCAAACAGG